rnacentral:ncRNA from 1 species
UGAGUAGAGGUUGCACCUUUUAAGAGUAGACCGGCGGAUGCAGGCAGUGCAGAAGAAACCGGAGGAAAGGAACAGGUGCCGAAAGAGGCAGCGUUGCCGGCUGUAUUCUUGGGCGUACAAUGAAGAAUUGUGCGACUGUCAUCUAGGAU